AAUUGUGAUUAAUAGGUUACAAGGUUGUAAGAGUACAGUGUGUAGUUCCACACCACACCCACCUACCUUUAAAGGUAACGAUAGUUCUCACAUUUCUUAAGUUUGCUUGUUGGUUUUUGUUGUUUUGGUUUGGUUUUUUGCUUUCAAGUUCAUGUGUAUCAGAUCUCUAGAUUCCACAUGAGUGAAAUUAUCCCAUAGUGUCUUUUAUCUCUUUACUUGUUUCACUAGGGAUAAUCACCUUCAUUAUGUCCCAAAGAUGGGCAUUUAGGCUACUUCCAAUCUUUGGCUAUUGUGAAUAAUGCAGCUAUGAACAUAAAGUUGCAUAUUAUUCCUUCAAAUUAGUGUUUGCAUGCCCUUUGGAUAAAUGCCUGAGUGGUACUGCUGGAUGAUGAGGCAAUUCCAUUUUUAUUUUUGAACUCUCCAGCCAUUCUUCCAAAGGGACUGCACCAGUUUGCAUUCCCACCAGCAGUAUAAGAGCUCCUUUUUCUCCACAAGCUUACCAACACCUGUAAUUUCCUGAUUUGUUGAUGUAAGUCAUUCUUUCAGGGGCGAGAUGGAAUUUCUGUGUAGUUUUAAUUUGCAUGUCUUUAAUGAUAAGUGAAGCAGAACAUUUCUUCAUGGGUCUGUUUAGUUCUUUGGCUCAAUUUUUUAUUGUCUUACUUUUUGAUAGACACCUAUAGCGCUCUAUCACUUGUGAAGUUUCCUCCUGCAGGGGGGGAUCUGUGUGCUUAAUCCUGGGUCCUCACACAUGAUAACAUGUGUAUUCUACCAGAUAUGCCACCAUCCUUGCCUCAUGCAUACAUUUCCAAGUAAAAAUCCAGUAACAACCAUUUUGAACCUUUAAUAUGAAUCCUUUAGAUUUUGAUUUUACUUUGGCUUUAUUGAGACAGUUACUAAGGAAAGUCCAAUAUAACAUGAUACAAACUUGUCUCAAAAAGUAAGAUGAAGGGGAAAAGAAUAUACCACCCUCAAAUUUGUCUCUUUGGCAGUUAUUAUUUUGAGCUGAUUAUUUUUAUGAAGUAGACAUGAGGACCUUUGAAAAUUAAGUAGAAAUUACCCUAUUAAAAGAGAAAUUUACAUAUAUAAGGGAAAACACCACUCGGAAGAUUAUCUCCCACUAUGAACCAUCACAAGAAAUUCUUAUCAAUGGAGAAAGCACUCAACUUUAAAUCUGUUUAAUAGCAUUAACCUCCUCAUUCACUGAACUUUUCCUGGUAACCUCCCAGAAUCUUCUAUCUUUACCCUCUUUUAAAGAAGGUGUCCAAAGGUGAUGGCUCUGGCUAGUUCAUGGGGUUACUUAGUUUUCCUGAAAGUCUUCUGUGCAUAUAGGAAAAUUGUUUUUCUUUUGUCUUUUAUUACAAAGGAGUAUUAGUAAAGAGAAGAAAAUAAAGGGGGAAAAUCAUUUCUAUAACCUGAGAACCAUACUUGCUCUGGAGAUUACAGAUGGAAUUCUGGAAAACUGACAGAAACCAAUAAAGGGACAUAAAUGGAAAUGUUGGUUGUAUCAACAAGGCUCAUUUGAGGGAGUUAGAUAACAUAAUGAUUGUGCAAAGAGGCUCUGAAGUCCCAGGUUUAAUCCCCUGCACCACUAUAAACCAGAGCUGUGCUCUGGGGGAAAAAAAUGUGCAUAGCAUCAGGUAUGUGUUAAGCAAUAGUGCUUGACCUUCUUGGGAAAACGGCCUAGUACCUUAUUUAGAGAGUCUCUAGCAAACUUAACCCAAAAGAAUAAGGAUGAUCACUUCCUAGUGGGUGUAAGGGUUAUUUAGGGGCUCUGAAAAAGAGAUUGACCCAGUUGUAUAGAUAGUACUGGCAGGCUUCCUUAUGAGAAGUUUAAACCAAGAAGAUCUAGAAAACCACAUAUAUCUCCAAUCACUCAGUACUAGACUUAGUCACAGCAAGACAUUUUAUUUGCUAUGUGCAGUAAAAAUGGUAGUGAUUAUAACCUAGGAGAUUCUGGUUUCAGACUCUUCAAACUGUUUCCUUACACUUGAGUUUGAGCCAGUAAGAACAAAGAUUGUCCUUUUUCUAAAGCUCUGAAAACUGGUGAACUACUAAAUACAAAUUUCUGAUUAAAUUUAGUCUUCAUGAUGUUUGCUCUGUGGGCCUCUCAGAGUCUUACCUGAUAUCUUGAUGACAUUAGAAACAUGCUAAUUGGGCGGAGAUAGCAUAAUGGUUAUGCAAACAGACUCUCAUGCCUGAGGCUCCAAAGUCCCAGGUUCAAUCCCCUGCACCACAAGCCAGAGCUGAACAGUGCUCUGGUUUAAAAAAGAAAAAAGAAACAUGCUAAUUGGAAGGGGGAAAAAAUACAGCUUGAAAUCUGUUAUCUGCUCACCAGAUUUCAGACUAGGUUUAUAAUGUGUUCUGAUAACCUUUCCCCUCCCUGUUUUCAUAGAAAUGCUGUUCACUAGCCUGACUUUGGGCCAGUGUGAGACACUGAUAGGCUCUCACAACUGAGAGCUGUUCUGUCAUUUCAUUGAACCAUGCCACCAACUCAGCUUUGGACUGAGAGGGAAGGCAUAGGGUUUGCUUUUUUAAGAAAUAGCAAGCAUAGGAAAGGCUUUCAAAAAAUGAUAAUUACCCUUUUAUAAGGGAUAUUUUCAUUUGCUAGUGUCCCCCUUUGUAUCUUGAAUGAUUCUGUCAGAAAUCACAAGAUACCUAGAAAUCAGAUAGGUACCUUCAAUCUGCAUCACCAUAACUAGAUCCUCCGCCCCCCCACACACACUGUCUUAAGUUGGAAGUGGUAAUCAAGACCUGACCUUGAGCCAUUUCAGGAGUCUCAGUUUAAUUUGGGUAAUCACCUAAAGCCAGAGGAAAAUUCUUUGUCUUACCCCUAAUUGGACAUUUAAAAAGUUUUUUAUACUAAAUCUAACCCAUUUUUCUUUUUAGAAGCAAAACCAUCAGUCAGCUAUGAGUUUUAAGAAACACAACAUAAUCCAGUACUAGUGGAAGAAUGGUAUAUUUUUAUCCCCCUCAGAAAGGCACAAAAAAAUCUGUGAUGGCCAUCAAAACUUCAGGAAAAUGGAAGAGGAACACUCCCAAACAGGAAAAGACUCCACCAAAAAAGAAAACUAUGGACCUAUAUCCCAAGAUCCUCAACAAAAUCUUGGCUAAGAGAAUCAAAACCCAAGUGGCAUUUACCCCUGGGAGACAUUGAGACCUCUCCCCUCUAAAAUCAGGAACCAAGCAAGGAUGUCCACUCUCACCACUUCUGUUCAACAUAUUCCUGGAAGUCUUCACCUUCGUAUCAGUCAAGAAAGAGAUAUAAAAAGGAAUUCAGAUUGGAAAGGAGGAAGUUAAAUUAUCAUUUGCAAAUGAUAUCCUAUUAUACCUAGAAAACCCCAAAAAUAACUCCUGGAAAUCAUCAAUAAAGUAGCAGGUUAUAAAAUCA